GAAAUCCAUACAUUAUGAUAAAUUGAUUUUUGACUAGGAUUCUAAGACCAUUCAAUGGGGAAAGAAUAGUCUUUUAAACAAAUAAUGUUAG